rnacentral:rRNA from 1 species
AUACGUAGGGUGCAAGCGUUAAUCGGAAUUACUGGGCGUAAAGCGUGCGCAGGCGGUUUUGUAAGACAGAGGUGAAAUCCCCGGGCUCAACCUGGGAACUGCCUUUGUGACUGCAAGGCUAGAGGACGGCAGAGGGGGAUGGAAUUCCGCGUGUAGCAGUGAAAUGCGUAGAUAUGCGGAGGAACACCGAUGGCGAAGGCAAUCCCCUGGGCCUGUACUGACGCUCAUGCACGAAAGCGUGGGGAGCAAACAGGAUUAGAUACCCUGGCAGUCCACGCCCUAAACGAUGUCAACUGGUUGUUGGGUCUUCAUUGACUCAGUAACGAAGCUAACGCGUGAAGUUGACCGCCUGGGGAGUACGGCC